AUUGAACGCUGGCGGCAGGCCUAACACAUGCAAGUCGAACGAGUGGCGGACGUGUGAGUAAUGCUUGGGAAUUUCGCUUAAGGAUGGGGUUACCUAAGGGAAACUGUAGCUAAUACCGCGUACAUUAGGCUGAGCCCAAGUGGGAUUAGGUAGUUGGUGAGGUAAAGGCUCACCAAGCCGACGAUCUCUAGUUGGUCUGAGAGGAUGACCAGCCAAACUGGAACUGAGAAACGGCCCAGACUCCUACGGGAGGCAGCAGUGGGGAAUAUUGCGCAAUGGGAGAAACCUGACGCAGCCAUGCCGCGUGAGUGAAGAAGGCCUUCGGAUUGUAAAGUUCUUUCGGUAGCGAGGCGUUAACUACAGAGGAAGCACCGGCUAACUCCGUGCCAGCAGCCGCGGUAAUAC
rnacentral:rRNA from 1 species